rnacentral:ncRNA from 1 species
AAUUUGAAUUUUGGAGAAACAUCAAGCCGUACUUAAUUGGACUCCUUCGGAUCGAUCGAAGGUGCAUGGCCAUUCUUAGUUGGUGGAGUGAUCUCUCUAGUUAAUUUCGAUAACGAACGGAACCUUGGCUUGCUAAAUAGGGUCGGUAGCGUUGGUUGCCGGGCCGCUUCUUAGAGGGACUUUGCGUGUCUAAAGCAAGAAAGUUUGAGGCAAUAACAGCUAUGUGAUGCCCUUAGAUGUUCUGGGCU